GAUUCCUGCCCCUCCAAUGGUUGUACUACUGAUCGAAGAGGAGGAUUUACCAGGAGCCCUGCUGCGGUUAUGUUGCAUAGUCAAGGAUGGACAGAUUGCCUCUUUAAAGAACAUUGGCAGGAAAUUCGACACUCGUGCCCUGAUGUCCCAGAAAAAGUGAGGCGUCAUUUGCUCUCUUCCAAUUUGUGUGAACCAUUCUGCAACCUACGGAAUUUUGGAAGAUGAUGAACAGUGCGCCUGCCUGAAAGGCUACGGAUCAAGUUCUGGAAUUUGGGCAGCUAUUUUCCAGCCGGCACGGACUCCAUCUUCUAUGUCGUCAACUCUACGAUUCCUUGAA